GCCCCCCACCGCCCUGUGCCUGCUCUGUCCCCCGGGCCCCAGGUCAGGCAGGGGUCAAGAUCGGCACCCUGCCACACGGGGACUAGCCGCACCUGCGCUCCUGCCUCUUUACCUCGGAAACUUGUCUUGAAUCUCUCAGCUCCUUCUCCCUGUCCUGCUGCCUCGUCCCUCCCUCCAGCCACCCUCUUCUCCAUCUGGAGGGUACAGCUGCCUUCCUGUCUGGCUGCCCCCCACCCGGGCUUUUCUCCACGCAGCCAUCUUUCCAAACCCAAAUUGGAAGCCUUCAGUGGUUCCCUGUGGCCCCAUUACCCCCUCCUUCCCAUGGCUAGCACCCUCAGCCUAUGUCCCGUUCAACCUGUCAGGAGGCUUACACCUCCUCUCCCCUCGGGCCCUUUGCACAUGCUGUUCCCUCCUUCCAGAAUGCUUGUCCCUUAUGCUCUUUCCCUAGUUCACCUCUCAGCCGCCGCCUCCUCAGGGAAGCCUUCCCUGAUACACACUCUCGUCCCUCCACAUGUCUCGCUUUUGAAGCACCGUAUGCUCACGUCAUGAACUUCGUCUCUCCCGGGAGUCUGUGGGCUCCUGGUUGGGCCAGGGCCUGCCCCGCCUGGCCACUGCCACCGCCACUGCCUGGCACACGCCUUGUGAGCCGGGACAGGUCACUUACCUCUUUGUGACACAGUUUCCUCAUCGGUAACGUGAAUACGGGGUUCACAGGCCGCUGGGAUGGACACCUGCCUGCCCACCACCCAUCCUCUCUUCCGGGAUCUGCACACUGAUUCUUCCUCGGGGACCAUCCUCCCGCCUCCUGCAGUCGGUGAAGUUUGAGAGAGAACCCUUCCCCCAGCUGUCUCAAGGGCACAGGACCCAGGCGUGGCCAGUCGAAGAACGCCACUCCCUGGUCUCAUGAUUGGUUCAGGAACGUGCAUGUAACCCAAGUGCAAUCAGUGAUAAUGAGCUCUGGAACUUGUGCUUGAGCUGUUGGGAAAGAGUUA